UAUGGCCAUAUUAUGAUAAAACAUUAGUUCCCGUCCAAUCAUUGAAGUUAAGCAACGUCAAGCCUGGUCAGUACAUAGAAGGGUGACCACUUAGGAAUACCAGGUGCUGUAAG